GCGGCAGGCUUAACACAUGCAAGUCGAGCGGGGGAAGGUAGCUUGCUACUGGACCUAGCGGCGGACGGGUGAGUAAUGCUUAGGAAUCUGCCUAUUAGUGGGGGACAACAUCUCGAAAGGGAUGCUAAUACCGCAUACGUCCUACGGGAGAAAGCAGGGGAUCUUCGGACCUUGCGCUAAUAGAUGAGCCUAAGUCGGAUUAGCUAGUUGGUGGGGUAAAGGCCUACCAAGGCGACGAUCUGUAGCGGGUCUGAGAGGAUGAUCCGCCACACUGGGACUGAGACACGGCCCAGACUCCUACGGGAGGCAGCAGUGGGGAAUAUUGGACAAUGGGGGGAACCCUGAUCCAGCCAUGCCGCGUGUGUGAAGA
rnacentral:rRNA from 1 species